rnacentral:lncRNA from 1 species
UGAAAAGGAUCAAGAAUAAAAAUGACUCCUUUAUAUGUUUUGGGUCGAAUUGUGUCAUUCCUCCAACCCCCAAAUUCGUAUGUUGAAGUCCUAACCCCUAAUACCUUAGAAUGUGACAUUAUUUGGAAAUUGCAUCAUUAUGGGUAUAAUUGGUUAAGAUGAGGGCAUGCUUGAGUAGAGUGGGCCCCUAAUCCUAUAUGACUGGCGUCCUUAUAAAAAGUGAGAAUUUGGACACAGGCACACACAGGAAGAACGCCGUGUGAAGAUGAAGGCAGAAAUCAGGGUGAUGCAGCAGAAGGUAAAGAAUAUCGAAGAUCGCAGAAGCCCACCAGAAGCUGGGAGAGAGGCAUGGGGUAAAUUUCUCCCUCAAGACUUCAGAAGGAACCAACCAUGCAGACACCUUGACCUUGGAGUUCUAGCCUCCAGAACUGAGACAAUACAUUUUUGUUGUUUGGGCCACCUAUUUUGUGGUACUUUGUUACAGCAGCUAUAUUAGGAAACUAAUAUAAUAGAAGCUAGAAGACAACAAGAGAGUGCUUUCAAAAUUCUCAAAGUGAUUUCUAACCUAGAAUUCUAUAACCAGCCAAAUAUCAGUCAAGUGUGGAGGUGAAGUAAAUACAUUUCAGUCAUGCGUGAUCUCAAAAAAAAGUCUAUCUCUCACACACCUUUUCUCAGAAAGUUACUGGAGGAUGUCCUACAGGAAAACAAAGGAGUAAAUCAAAGAAGAGGAAGACAUAGAUUCCAGGAGACAAGGAAGAUAACGCAUAAAUAAAUCCAUUCUUGGACAAUUAUUUAUUAAUUUCUACGGGCUAGGCACCAUUCUAAGAUUCUAAGCACUGGGAACCCAGCAGUGAAUAAAGCAGAUAAAAAUGGCUUUAUGAAGUUUACAUUGCAGUGGAGGACAUCAGACAACAAUGGAAACAAGUACAACCCACAGCACAUUAGAUGGCAAUAGCGCUGUGGAAAGAAAGAAGGUGGCAAUGGGCAUGCCUGCGUGGGGAUGGAGUAGUCAGGGAAGGCCUUACUGAAAAAGACCAGAAAGAGAUAGGGAGGAAGCCACAUGCACAUCUGGGGGAAACCGAAGCAAAGCAUUUCCUGCAAAGCUUCUACAGAGGGAGCAUCCGCAGCUCGUCCGAGGAACACCAGUGAAGUCCGUGUGGCUGGAAGGGACUGAACCAGGGAGGAGAUUCACACUGCAAGGUUGUGAGUUGGGGAGCAACAUGAUCUGACUUAAUCUUUUAAAAGACUCACUCCAACGGCUGGGUUAAAACAGACUGUCGGGCAAAAAUGGCAGAAGGAGAGAGACCAAUUAUGGGACAUACUGUAAAAAUCUGGGUGGGAACUAGUGGUGUCAUGGACUGUGCCGGUGGCUGGAGGAAGUGAUGAGAAACAGGUUCCGAGUGUGUUUUGCAGGCAGAAGUAACAGAAUUUGCUGAGAUUGGUUGUGGAGUAUGAGAGAAAGAGGAACGUCAGAAGGCCCCCAAAGUUCUUAGCCUGAGCACUGGGGUGGGGAAGAAUGCAGGUGAAUGCUGAGCGGCGGGGAGCGGGUGAUAAGGAGCUGUGUUUUACACAUAUUGAGGUUGAGAGCUUACUGGACAUCCAAGAGAAGAUGUUGAGAAUGUGAUCGGAUGCAGAGGUCUGGGCAGAGAUAGAAUGUGACAGUCAGCAGCAUAUUCCUGAGAGUCGAAGCCGUGCAGACAAGAUGAGAUUGAAUGAAAUACAAUGACAGCAAAAAUCCAAACGAGGACAUGAAAGGAAGCAUCGCCAUAUCAUAGCUGUGGCUUGGCAGUGAACAAUAUUUAUAUAGUCAUAAUAACACAAACACAAAAUAUUAAUUUAGCCAAAAUUGUGAUUUCAUUGUGUCAGGAAGAUUGAAAAAGUGAAGAAAGAGUUGAGAAGUGGGAUUUAAGAGUUCUAAAGUCUAGGACUCAUAACAGGAAAUAGAUAACAUUUGAAAUGUGUAAAACAGACUUAGUGGUGAAAGAUAUUUCUGGUUCAGAGUAGGCUGGAAAUUGCCCUAAAAGAAAGCGCCAGCAUUUCCCUUUCCGCAGUGGACCUGUUUGGACGUUGUUUGCCCAGAGCCUGGGGAAGGAAGAUGGGUGUUGCUUCUCCAUGUAGAUUUUUAACGCAGCUGCUGAAGUUUGCAGGAAAAAAACCCCACGGGUGAAAGAUAUUCCGUUAAGGGUGUGGGCCCCCAAGGAAGUGGCUGACCCAGAUGUUGAGCUGGAGAAGAGCAUUUCUGGCGGCCGGUCCUAGGGCUGCUCCCGGCACAGAGGACACUGUCCAACGGCUCCUCCUCCAGGAGCCUGGCAAAGGGAUUCUCCACGAGAAAGAACAGCAAGGUAAGACCAUGCCAGGUCAUGAGCCGGAGCCAGCCCCCCACAGGAUCAUAAACUCCACCGAGAUGGGGAAACAGUCUGCCUCUCACGCACCUCCACGUACUCGGGGCCUGAGAACCUGGAACCUGGGUGGCUUUUAAUGAUGCCUCAUAACAGAGAAAUAAAUAAACCCAUUAGCCCAUUCAUCACUCCCCAUGGCUCGCCUGUGCAAGUUCCGCUCUGGUCCCCUUGGGUGAAUGAGGUGCUGAUGAGUGGCCCUGGGGUUCUGGGGAGGAAAGCCCAUCCAUCACUGAG